ACAACAACAAAACAUCGUUCGAUGUGCCCAGGGCACUGUUGCGGCGCUGCUGAUACUAAUCAAAUCAGACAGUUCAGUUCACUACGUUCUCGACGUAUGUUCAUUAGAGCAAACAAUGAAAGAUGAAGAUAGUGCGCGAUGAUAAUUUUUAUUUAUUGUAGUGUAAUAAUGAUCGUAUUGUAAAAUAGCAACAAAUAAGUGCAUCAUACACAAAAACACGCACACCACGUUUGAUAUAGCUCCAACAAGAAUAGAAACAUUUUGAUGAACCCCAUGUAUAAAUCUUCCCUUUGUAAAUAAAAGAAAGAAAGCAGCGAGACAAAAAAAAAACAACUACGAGCCAGCAGAAGCAUUGACAAAAGCCAAGCAUAACCGUCGUCUACGUUCGCAGCGGCAUCAGCACAAGUGCAAGAAAAUUUCUACAUCACAAUAAAAACACCAUUUCUCGGAACAAUACAACACAGCGAUAAUUUUGGUUGAUUUCCAAGAGGGGGAUCCAAACGCUGCGACAAGACACUGACACAGAAAAAACACAACACCACCCCUCAGAUUUUGAGAUCGAGUCGGACCACUUACGACUGGGCGGCAUAGAAUUGUGUCAAUAUUCGGAAGGAAUUUUAUGAGUAGGAGUACCAUCGUCGUUGACGUCGUCGGUGUCGCCUCAUCAGCCACUCAUCCAUCCCCAAAAGCACACACGGAUGAAAAAAAAAACAAACAUUUGCCGAGAUUUUCAAAUAAAAAAAUCGAAAAGUAACCAUAAAUUGUGAAUUAAGAAAAAGAGGCGUAUUACCAUUUAGCUGUAUUUCUUAAGAUAGACAAUUAAAUUACAUAUUAGAGAGAGCGCGAGAGAAAAUAUACCACGAUCCUGAAUAGAAGAGGGAGAGAGAGAGAGAGAGAGAGAGAGAGAUUCUCUUUGCCUUGCCCCAUUGGAGUUUCUCAACGAAAAGCAUAAAAAGUUACCGCACAGCGAACAAAAUUGUUGCCAACAGCAGCAGUUAUGGGUGGCAAUAGCACAGCUGCUUUUAGCAUUGGCGGCUAUAUGGGUGGCAGUGGCGGUAGUGGUGGCAGUGCUGGUGGCGCUGUUGGCGGUGCAUCCGAUCUUGUGCCCAGUAGCAGUAUGUUAGGCAGCGGUUCCUCAUUUACACCAGGUUUACCCUAUUCGUGUGGCAUAAGCUGGGAUGAGUUUUCCGAGCGUCAUGCACGUGUUGCUGCAGCAGAUUUUGCCAAAGCCUGUAUCAGUUACAUAAAUGGCGGUUUAUCGCCCGAAGAGGCCCGUAAUUUAACCUAUAGAAAUUUUGGUGAAAAAUUUAUCGAUUCAUUUGCCAUACACUAUGAAAAGGAAUUUUUGCGAAGGAGAAGUAAUUUAAAGGUUGGGAAUGGUGUACUAGAAGAAACUGAAUAUACAGGGGAGGAGCAACCGAAAAUCUUUCCAAAAACAUUCUUCCGCAGGCUAUCGUUUAAAGGACUACGAAAGGGCAAGAAUUUUCUAUUCUUGCAGACGCUCUUUCACAAAAGUUCAGACGAGGAAGGCUCAAGUAAACAUAAUAAGAAAUUUGCCAAAAUUGUUGUAGAAUGCCAAAAAGAUGGCAUUGUCAAUAAUCUAACACCAGAGAGCUUAGAUCAACCGACUGGUUCGCAAAAAUGGGAAAAAUGUCGCUUGUGUUUGGUGAAAGCCGUGGGAGGUUAUAUGUUGGAGUUCUAUAUGCCACCCAAAGCUGCCAAGCCGCGUUGUGGUGUUUUUUGUUUCCUAAUUUCGGAGGCUCGCGAGACAACAGCCUUAGAAAUGCCCGAUCGAGAGAAUACGUUUGUAUUAAAGGCCGAUAAUAAUAUGGAAUAUGUAAUUGAGGCCCAAAGUGCCGAGGAUAUGCGCAGUUGGUUAAGCACUAUUCGGCAUUGUAUGCGUACACCGCCCACACAACAGCCCACAACGGAUACAGAAGUUAUGGCUGCCGCCAUGCAAGCAUCACCCAUCAUCAUAAAUCCCAAUACGGCAACAGGGACAACAGGUAGUUUAUUGAAUGCAGUACAAAAUCCACAGUAUCACCAACAGAAUGCCAUAGGCUCAAAUGGUAACGUAGCACCAAGUAGUUCACUUUCGGAAAAUGCUCUCUCUUCAUUAGCGGCGGCUGGUGGUGCGGGUGGCAUAGCAGCCGAUUCGGCCACAGAUAUUGCCGCAUGUACAGCAUCUAAUGCCAUAUACAAUACAAGCGAUGUCCCGCAUAGGCGAGGUGAACAACGUCUCUCUUCCUCCAGUAAUAUAGAACCUGGUGACGGUUUUCAAGAUCCUGAUGCUGAUGUCAAUGUAGCCGAUAUAAGCAAUGAAAUGCGUCAAUAUCCUUGGUUCCAUGGUACACUGCCCAGAUCGGAUGCGGCUCGUAUGGUUUUACAGAACGAAACUCAAGGUCAUGGUUUCUUCCUAGUGCGUCAGAGUGAGACGCGCAAAGGUGAAUUUGUGCUCACCUUUAAUUUUAAUGGCCGUGCCAAACAUUUGCGGAUGACUUUGUCCGAUAAGGGCCAGUGUCGUGUGCAACAUUUAUGGUUUCCUUCAAUACAGGAGAUGUUGGAACAUUUCCGUCAUAGUCCUAUACCAUUGGAAUCGGGUGGGACGUCAGAUGUUACGCUAACCGAAUAUAUACACAAUCAAGGAGUUCCUUAUAAUUUCCAUGGCACCGUGGUGGUGGGUGGUGAUUUGAACAACACAACAACAACAACCUUAGAAAAUAGUGUUGGCGUUGUAAAUGCAACAUUACCACAACAAACGCAACAACAGCAAGUACAGCAGCAGCAACAAAUGCAACAACAACAGACGCAACAACAGCAAGAUCCAUCACCGAGACAUUCACAAGAUGUGAUUUCCAUGAAAUGUAGUGUACGUUUAAAAACAAACGAAAUGGAUUUGGCUUUAUUAUUGGCAGCCGGUAUGGCCACGCGUCAUUUCCAUCAACAACACCAGCAGCAUCAUAAUCAUCAUCAUCAGCAAUCAACGGUAACAGCACUAACCUCCUCUCAACAAAGCAACAGCAAUGUCAUAGAAGCAAACGCCGCCUCCGCCGCAGUAGCAUCAGCAGCAGCAGCAACCGCCGUAACGCAUUUGAACAACAAUAAUACAGCAGCAGCUGUAGCGACAACAACAAUCCUCACGAAUAAUGCAACAGCACAAAAUCUGAAUCAUCAAUUCAGUGAUGCCACUGAGAGCUUGCCAUUUGAUCACACUCUGGUAAUGGGGGCCGUUGUAUCGUUACCACCCGAAAAUAUAAGAGAUUCAGCAUCGCCCACACAACUGGUAGGAGGUAUGUCAAAUGCUGCCGUAGCUGCCGCAGCCGAUUUAAAUCAGUAUUUACGAGCUUCAAGUGUAUCGCUACAAUCCCAAAAUACUAUCACCGGCGGCACAGGUGGUGGUGGUGGUGGUGGUUCCUCUGGAAGUGGGGGCAGUGUGGGUGGUGUUGUCCAUUUGGCACAACCGCAACAGCAGACACAGCCACGUCAAUAUCAACAGCAUGCAACAUCAUACAAUGAUACGAAUACGCCACGAGCUGUGGAUAAUCAAUAUAGCUUUGUUUGAAUUAGCCAAAAUCAUUGUCGUUGUCCUCCUACUCCACUUACCCUCCAAUCAUCAAAUAGUGGUGUCAUAUCGUCGUGCAUUGUUGUGAAUGCGAGUAAACUGUCUUCAUAAAUAUAAUUUUCAGUGUGGCAAUGUGGUGAUUUUGUUUUUGAAUUUUCUUUCUGUAUAAAGCCUUCGUCUUCAAACUUCCUCUAUAUAUAUAUUAUGAGACUACUGCAAACCAAAAACAACAACCCUACUUACCCAUUGCAACAUUACAAAAAACUACAUUUGAUGUAUAUGAUAUUGUAAUUUUUAUAAAUAUAAUUUUAUAUGGUUCUGUCAACGAA